rnacentral:rRNA from 1 species
GCGUGUGUGAAGAAGGCCUUCGGGUUGUAAAGCACUUUCAGUCGUGAGGAAGGUAGUGUAGUUAAUAGCUGCAUUAUUUGACGUUAGCGACAGAAGAAGCACCGGCUAACUCCGUGCCAGCAGCCGCGGUAAUACGGAGGGUGCGAGCGUUAAUCGGAAUUACUGGGCGUAAAGCGCAUGCAGGUGGUUUGUUAAGUCAGAUGUGAAAGCCCGGGGCUCAACCUCGGAAUAGCAUUUGAAACUGGCAGACUAGAGUACUGUAGAGGGGGGUAGAAUUUCAGGUGUAGCGGUGAAAUGCGUAGAGAUCUGAAGGAAUACCGGUGGCGAAGGCGGCCCCCUGGACAGAUACUGACACUCAGAUGCGAAAGCGUGGGGAGCAAACAGGAUUAGAUACCCUGGUAGUCCACGCCGUAAACGAUGUCUACUUGGAGGUUGUGGCCUUGAGCCGUGGCUUUCGGAGCUAACGCGUUAAGUAGACCGCCUGGGGAGUACGGUCGCAAGAUUAAAACUCAAAUGAAUUGACGGGGGCCCGCACAAGCGGUGGAGCAUGUGGUUUAAUUCGAUGCAACGCGAAGAACCUUACCUACUCUUGACAUCCAGAGAACUUUCCAGAGAUGGAUUGGUGCCUUCGGGAACUCUGAGACAGGUGCUGCAUGGCUGUCGUCAGCUCGUGUUGUGAAAUGUUGGGUUAAGUCCCGCAACGAGCGCAACCCUUAUCCUUGUUUUGCCAGCACUUCGGGUG